rnacentral:lncRNA from 1 species
GACACUGAGAAGUGGCAUAGUGCGAGCGCAAAUAUAUUUUUUUAACUAUGACGAGUUAUAAGUGCAUAAGUAGAUGCUGUUCUUCUGUGAACACAGAAGUAACAUUUUUUGGUCUUCCAAGUGAUCCUUUAAGACGUGAAGCUUGGCUUCGUGCAGCUAAAAGAGAAGACCUGCUGCAAAAAGAAAAUUUUAAAAAUUACAGAAUAUGUAGAAAGCAUUUUGCGGAAAAAUAUAUCUCAACUGGGGGGAAAAAGUUAUUUCCAAACGCUAUACCUACAUUUUUUUGUAAUCAUAUUUGUGUACUUACAUCGACGGAAAUAAAUGAAACUGAAAUUAAUGUUAAUCUGGAAUCCAAAAGCGAAGAACCUCCACGAAAGAUUUUGAUUUAAUCAGAUGUGACAGGCACUAAAGAUACGCUCAUCAAUUACAUUACAAGUAUAAAAUCACCAAGCAUAGGAACACAAACUUCAUCUACAUUGACUGCCAAUAGCCCAAGAAAGCUGAAGUUGCGAUACCAAGUCAGAGGUUUAAAAAGAAAUAUAUUAAAACAAAAAAAAGUAAUUUGAGCAGGCUAAAGCGAUUAAACCGAAACUCGAUAGUUUUAAUAAAUUAGGUGACAGCUUUUUAAAUAAAACUUUAUCUGAAAUAAUAAAAGUUCAAGCUAAAUUACAGCAUGAAGUAGGUAAAACUAAACGAUAUCCAGAUAGUUAUAAACAGUUUGCUUUAGUUUUGUAUUUCUUGGGGCCAAAAGCAUAUAGAUUUCUCGCAAAAAUAUUAAAUUUACCUACUAAACGUACUCUGGAAAAAAUGACACAAAGUAUUGUUUCAAAACCAGGACUAAACAAACAAACAUUCAAUUCUCUUGCUAUUAAAGUCAAAACUAUGUUUGAAGUUGAUAAGUAUUGUACCAUAUGUAUUGAUGAAACAUCUUUAAUGUCCUAUCUUUAUUUUAAUUUAGCAAAAGAUGAAUUUGUAGGCCGGGAGGAUAUUGGAAAAAAUGACAAUAAUAAUAUCAUAGCACAAAAUGUUGCUGCUAUUAUGGUUCGCGGACUUUUUCAUAACUGGAAGCAACCACUGGCUUAUUUUUUUGUAAACUCCCAACUUAAAGCUUCAGAUAUUUUAAAAAUAUUAACUGAAUGCGUUAAAAAAUUAUCAGAUGCUGGUUUAUUUAUCCACGGCUUAGUAACUGAUAUGGGCUCUAAUUUUAUACAGCUUUCUAGAAUGCUAAAGGUUAACGAAGAAAAUCCUGAAUUUCAAUUGGGCGAUUUGAAAUUAGUUUACAUUUUUGACCCUCCACAUUUAUUAAAGGCGACUAAAAAUAAUUUAGCCGAAAAUAAUUUUCAUUUUGACAAUAAAGUAACGUCUUGGAAGUUUGUCAAACAAUUUUAUGAAAAAGAUAGCCAGCAAGUGUAUAUGUAGGUGUGCUCAGAAACUUACUAAAUCCCACAUAUAUCCUAAUAACUUUGAAAAGAUGAAGGUAAAACUGUCCACGCAAGUUUUAAGUCAUAGUGUUGCGAGUGGAAUGAAUACAUAUAUGACAUUAGGAGCACUUCCUGUAGAUGCUUUACCUACAAUUGAAAUUAUAGAUAAAUUUAAUACUUUGUUUGAUUUGUUUAAUUCUACAGAUACGUCCCACCCGAAUAAAUUUAAAAAUGCAUAUCAGGGUCUUGAUUAUCAAGUUGAGUUUUUAAAUCACAUGUGGCUAUUUUUGAAAAACCUUGAAAUAUGCAAUAAUAAGGGAAAAAAAUUGACAAAAAAGUGUAAAUUUCGUCCGUGUUGGAUGAUAUCUAUCUAUGGAUUGAAAGUUUUAUGGCAGAGCCUUUCAAAUUGCGGAUUUAGUUACCUAAAAACCAGAAAAAUAAAUCAAGACUGUCUUGAAAAUUAUUUCGGAAAUAUAAGGCAACAAGGAUGGAAUUGCGUAAAUCCAACCCUAAUUUAAUUUCAAAGAGCCCAUAAAAAAUAUUUUGUCAGAAUUUUUUACACUCUGAAUAUAUGAACUGUGAGGACGAUUUAGGCGUGCUUUUAGCUGAGCUAAAAAACGUUUCAGAUGAAAAUUUAAGAGAAGUGAUGCAUACGCAGUCAUCUCAAAUAUGUAAGGCAAUAACUGUUUCUGAUUGUGAUUAUAGAGAACACAGUUUAACCACACAAAAUGCUUUUAAAUAUGUCUGUGGUUACUUAAUUAAAAAAGCUUUAAAUAUUCAUAAAUGUCCCAUUUGUGUCAGUUUUUCAGAAGAAUCCGGAAACCUUGAUGC